rnacentral:rRNA from 1 species
AAAUUGAAGAGUUUGAUCAUGGCUCAGAUUGAACGCUGGCGGCAGGCCUAACACAUGCAAGUCGAACGGUAACAGAAAUCAGCUUGCUGAUUUGCUGACGAGUGGCGGACGGGUGAGUAAUGUCUGGGAAACUGCCUGAUGGAGGGGGAUAACUACUGGAAACGGUAGCUAAUACCGCAUAAUGUCGCAAGACCAAAGAGGGGGA